GGUAACUUGACGGAAAGUGCAACAGAAAGUAAACCGCCAUUUGGUAAGGGUGAAACGGUGAGGUAAGAGCUCACCUCAAUUAAGGAAACUUAAUUGGAUUGGCAAACCCCAUUCGGUGCAAGGUUAAAUAGAGGAGCUAAUGCGGAUCCGACAAGCUUCUGGGUAAACCGCUUGAUUUAUUUGGCAACAAAUAAACUAGAUAAAUGACUGCUGCCUUAUUAAAGGUACAGAACUCAGCUUAUAGUUUGCCUUGAUCA
rnacentral:RNase_P_RNA from 1 species